AGAGUACCAUGGCAAGAUUUCAACUCAAAGGAAGGGACGGGGCACCACCCAAGCGGCAGAUGAUGUAGUUUAAUUCGAUGCGACGAGCAAAACCUGACCUAGCCAUGCCAUGGACGGAAUAGAGAAGAGAUUUGGGAGUGCUGGAAUGAGACACAUCACACACAUGGUGCAUGUCAGUUGUCAUCUUGAGUCGUGAGAUGAAGUGUUAAGUCGAGCACAGACCGCAUCCUUAGUCAUCAGCACGUUAAAAAGGGCACUCUAAUGAGACUGCCGGUGACAAACCGGAGGAAGGUGGGGAUGACGUCAAGUCAUCAUGGCCCUUACGGCUAGGGCUUCACACGUCAUACAAUGGUACAUACAGAGGGUCGCCAAGCCGCGAGGGGGAGCUAAUCCCAGAAAACGUAUCGUAGUCCGGAUUGCAGUCUGCAACUCGACUGCAUGAAGUCGGAAUCGCUAGUAAUCGCGGAUCAGCAUGUCGCGGUGAAUACGUUCCCGGGUCUUGUACACACCGCCCGUCACACCAUGGGAGCGGGUUGUUCCAGAAGUAGGUAGCUUUAAACCCGUACAGGAGGACGGUCACCCAACGG
rnacentral:rRNA from 1 species